GUGCCAGCAGCCGCGGUAAUACGUAGGGUGCGAGCGUUAAUCGGAAUUACUGGGCGUAAAGCGUGCGCAGGCGGUUUUGUAAGCCAGAUGUGAAAGCCCCGGGCUUAACCUGGGAAUGGCAUUUGGGACUGCAAGGCUUGAGUGCGGCAGAGGAGACUGGAAUUCCUGGUGUAGCAGUGAAAUGCGUAGAUAUCAGGAGGAAUACCGAUGGCGAAGGCAGGUCUCUGGGCUGACACUGACGCUCAUGCACGAAAGCGUGGGGAGCAAACAGGAUUAGAUACCCCCGUAGUCC
rnacentral:rRNA from 1 species